GGCCACCUUGGCUCACAGGCAAUGUAUAGACCUCUCAUAGCCAUGCACAAGGAAAAUAUGGCACAGAAGCUACACGAUGGGGAGUCUUCUGAAGAGGAAGAGAUUUUCAGUAAGGAUGCAAGGGCACCCAGAGACGGCACAGCAGAGGUGGUUCUGACCACAGGGCCAGGAGAGCCAGACAAGGAAAGUGAGGCAGCACAGGAGAGUGAUGGGGUGUGAGCCACGUUCCCCCACAGGCCGCCUGCAAACUUUCUUUUCAAAUGUUGUCUUCUCAGCAUAGCUAAUAAAAUGCUUGUUUUUCUCC